rnacentral:rRNA from 1 species
AACGAACGCUGGCGGCAUGCCUAACACAUGCAAGUCGAACGAGACCUUCGGGUCUAGUGGCGCACGGGUGCGUAACGCGUGGGAACCUGCCCUUAGGUUCGGAAUAACUCCCCGAAAGGGGUGCUAAUACCGGAUAAUGUCUUCGGACCAAAGAUUUAUCGCCUUUGGAUGGGCCCGCGUUGGAUUAGCUAGUUGGUAGGGUAAAAGCCUACCAAGGCGACGAUCCAUAGCUGGUCUGAGAGGAUGAUCAGCCACACUGGGACUGAGACACGGCCCAGACUCCUACGGGAGGCAGCAGUGGGGAAGAUUGGACAAUGGGCGAAAGCCUGAUCCAGCAAUGCCGCGUGAGUGAUGAAGGACUUAGGGUUGUAAAGCUCUUUUACCCGGGAUGAUAAUGACAGUACCGGGAGAAUAAGCUCCGGCUAACUCCGU